rnacentral:rRNA from 1 species
AGUGAACGCUGGCGGUAGGCCUAACACAUGCAAGUCGAACGGCAGCACAGUAAGAGCUUGCUCUUACGGGUGGCGAGUGGCGGACGGGUGAGGAAUACAUCGGAAUCUACUUUUUCGUGGGGGAUAACGUAGGGAAACUUACGCUAAUACCGCAUACGACCUACGGGUGAAAGCAGUGGAUCUUCGGACCUUGCGCGAUUGAAUGAGCCGAUGUCGGAUUAGAUAGUUGGCGGGGUAAAGGCCCACCAAGGCGACGAUCCGUAGCUGGUCUGAGAGGAUGAUCAGCCACCCUGGAACUGAGACACGGUCCAGACUACUACGGGAGGCAGCAGUGGGGAAUAUUGGACAAUGGGCGCAAGCCUGAUCCAGCCAUACCGCGUGGGUGAAGAAGGCCUUCGGGUUGUAAAGCCCUUUUGUUGGGAAAGAAAAGCAGCAGGUUAAUACCCCGCUGUUCUGACGGUACCCAAAGAAUAAGCACCGGCUAACUUCGUG